CCCUUGCACCAGGGAAAAGGCUCCUUGGAAAUAAGAAUACACUUGUGGCUGAAGGAAACCGUAUUUCCCCAAGAUGAGCCAAGAAUCUGAAGCACAGAACAAGCAGGAGUCAUCUCUGGAGAAAUGAACAGCAGCACUUGAUAAUGAGAAGAACUUGUUUCUACCAUCUUAAAACUACUGGACAGCACUUUACAGAAGAUUAUUAAAAUAUUAAAAAUGUA